UACGGAGGGGACUAGCGUUGUUCGGAAUUACUGGGCGUAAGGCGCACGUAGGCGGAUUUGUAAGUCAGGGGUGAAAUCCCGGGGCUCAACCCCGGAACUGCCUUUGAUACUGCGAAUCUCGAGUCCGGAAGAGGUGAGUGGAACUGCGAGUGUAGAGGUGAAAUUCGUAGAUAUGCGCAAGAACACCAGUGGCGAAGGCGGCUCACUGGCCCGAUACUGACGCUGAGGUGCGAAAGCGUGGGGAGCAAACAGG
rnacentral:rRNA from 1 species